rnacentral:rRNA from 2 species
ACUUAAAUUGAAGAGUUUGAUCAUGGCUCAGAUUGAACGCUGGCGGCAGGCCUAACACAUGCAAGUCGAGCGGCAGCGGGAAAGUAGCUUGCUACUUUUGCCGGCGA